rnacentral:rRNA from 1 species
UACGCAGGCGGCUUAGUAAGUUGGGUGUGAAAUCCCGGGGCUCAACCCCGGAACUGCAUUCAAAACUGCUAGGCUUGAAUACGGGAGAGGGAAGUGGAAUUCCUGGUGUAGAGGUGAAAUUCGUAGAUAUCAGGAGGAACACCAGUGGCGAAAGCGACUUCCUGGCCCGAUAUUGACGCUCAUGUACGAAAGCAUGGGGAGCAAACAGGAUUAGAUACCCUGGUAGUCC